GCCAACAAAGGUUCAUCUAGUCAAGGCUAUGGUUUUUCCUGUGGUCAUGUAUGGAUGUGAGAGUUGGACUGUGAAGAAGGCUGAGUGCCGAAGAAUUGAUGCCUUUGAACUGUGGUGUUGGAGAAGACUCUUGAGAGUCCCUUGGACUGCAAGGAGAUCCACCCAGUCCAUUCUGAAGGAGAUCAGCCUGGGAUUUCUUUGGAAGGAAUGAUGCUAAAGCUGAAACUCCAGUACUUUGGCCACCUCAUGCAAAGAGUUGACUCAUUGGAAAAGACUCUGAUUCUGGGAGGGAUUGGGGGCAGGAGGAGAAGGGGAUGACAGAGGAUGAGAUGGCUGGAUGGCAUCAAUGACUCGAUGGACUUUUCAUGCUGUGGAGCAAAAAGGGAAUAUUUCAGGACUGCAAGAUGCUGAGAUGAGAAAUAAGGCACAAGAGUAACACAAAGAGAGUAAAACAGAAACAGAUGAUCAAGAAACUUUUGCCUGCUUUGGGCUCACAGAGUCUUUAACCCAUGGACACACCUUCCUGCGUCCCACACAUUCAGAAAAAUCUGAGAUUCCAACCACAGAAGUGUUCUGUCUGCCUUCCUCCCCACCCCCACCCAAGGAACUGUCCAUCUGUCCUCUCAUUCCUGACACCUGUUAGACAACUUGCUGUGUUCCUGAAACUCUUAGAGGAUCAAGGCCAACAUGGCUUUCUCAUUGAAGUACCACGAGAGUCAUCGGCACAGUUGGAGGUGCAUGUUAACAGAAAACUGGAAAGAAGAAAAAAACCAGUCAUUAUCGCACUCCUGUUGUUUACCAAGUUUCCACGUGUCAUACUCAUCCAGUGUUGAUAGCUGAAAUUGCGUGCGUGCGUGAUUAGUCACUCAAUCGUGUCUGGCUCUUUGCAACCCCAUGGACUGUAGCCCACCAGGCUCUUCUGUUCAUGAGAUUUUUCAGGCAAGAAUACUGGAGUGGAGUGCCAUUUCCUCCUCCAGGGAAAUCUUCUUGACCCAGGGAUCUGAUCUGUGUCUCCCAUGCCUCCUGCAUUGCAGGCAGAUGGUUUUCUGCUGAGCCAUAGGGGAGGCCAAGCAACAGAUGGAAACUUCAGCUAAUUAAAGCUGAAAAUGCAUCUAUUAAGGGGUACAAAAUAACUCAUAGAGUCUCUGAGAAUCAGUCUUGGAGUUGACCCGUGUCAUGCAGAAGGGUCAAAACUCAUUCUGCAGAACUGGUCUGGUGAGGACAACACGCCAAAGUCUUCCCUGAGCCUGGACGGUGUAUUGUGUGUUGCAGAUACCCCUAGGGCAGUGUCAUCACUACUGAUUCUAGAAACUGGACUUGCUACUGCUUCUAGUGCCAGCCUUUGUUGUUGUUGUUCAGUCCCUAAGGUGUGUCCAACUCUUUGUGACCCCCGUGGACUGCAGCACUCCAGGUUUCCUUGUCCUUCACUGUCUCUUGGAGCUUGCUCAAAUUCAUUUCCACUGAGUCAGUGAUGCCAUCCGACCAUCUCAUUCUCUGUCACCCCCUGCUCCUCCUGCCCUCAAUAUUUCAGCAUCAGAGUCUUUUCCAAUAAGUCAACUCUUCCUACCAGGUGGCCAAAAGUAUUGGAGCUUCAGCUUCAGCAUUUGUCCUUCCGAUGAGUAUUGAGGGUUGAUGUCCUUUAAGAUCAAUUGGUUUGAUCUCCUUGCUGUCCAAGGAACUCUCAAGAGUCUUUUCCAGCAUCACAGUGCAAAAGCAUCAAUUCUUCAGCACUCCACCUUCUUUAUGGUCCAUAAAGAAGAUUUGGACCAUAGCCUUGACUAGAUGGAUCUUUACCAGCAAAUGAUGUCUCUUCUUUUUUAACAUGCUGUCUAGGUUUGUCGUAGCUUUUCUUCCAAAGAGUGAGGAUCUUUUAAUUCCAUGGCUGCAGUCACCAUCUGCAGUGAUUUUGAAGCCUGAGAAAAUAAUGUCUGUCGUUUCCAUUUUUUCCCCCAUCUAUUUGCCAUGAAGUGAUGGGACCAGAUGCUAUGAUCUUAGUUUUUUGAAAGGUGAGUUUUAAGCCAGGUUUUUCACGCUCCUCUUACACCUUCAUCAAGAGGCUCUUUAGUUCCUCUUUGCUUUCUGUCAUUAGGGUGGUACCAUCUGCGUAUCUAAGGUUGUUGAUAUUUCUCCUGGCAAUCUUGAUUCCAGCUUGUGAUUCAUCCAGCCUGACAUUUUGCAUGAUGUAUCUUGUAUAUAAUUUAAACAAGCAGGGUGGCAACAUACAGCCUUGAUAUAGUCCUUUUCCAAUUUGAAACCAGUCCAUUGUUCCAUAUCUGGUUCUGUUGCUUCUUGACCUGCAUACAUAUUUCUCAGGAGGCAGCUAAGGUGGUCUGGUAUUCCAAUCUCUUUAAGAAUUUUCCACAGUUUGUGAUGAUCCACCACAAUCAAAGGCUUUAACCUAGUCAAUGAAGCAGAAGUAGGUAUUUUUCUGGAAUUCUCUUGCUUUUUCUAUUGUCCAAUGGAUGUUGCCAAUUGGAUCUCUAGUUCCUCUGACUUUUCUAAAUCCAGUUUGCACAUCUGGAAGUUCAUGGUUCACGUAUUGUUGAAGCUUAGCCUGAAGGAUUUUGAACAUUAUCUUGCUAACAUUUGAAAUGAGUGCAAUUGUAUGGUAGUUUGAAUAUUCUUUAGCACUGAUUUUCCUUGGGAUUGGAACGAAAACGGACUUUUUCCAGUCCUGUGGCCAUUGCUGAGUUUUCCAAAUUUGCUGACAUAUUGAGUGCAACACUUUUACAUCAUCUUUUAGGAUUUGAAAUAGCUCAGCUGGAAUUCCAUCACCUCCACUAGCUUUGUUCAUUGAAUGUACUGUAAGAUUUUAUUUGUAUAUAAUUCUUAAAAUGCUAAAACUAUAGAUAGAACAGAUGGUAAUAACCAGCGGUUAAGGAAGGAAAGUUAUGACCAAUCUAGACAGCAUAUUAAAAAGCAAAGACAUUACUUUGCCAACAAAGGUUUGUCUAGUAUAGGCUAUGGUUUUUCCAGUAGUCAUGUAUGGAUGUGAGUGUUGGACUAAAAAGAAAGCUGAGCGCCGAAGAAUUGAUGCUUUUGAACUGUGGUGUUAGAGAAGCCUCUUGAGAGUCCCUUGGACUGCAAGGAGAUCCAACCAGUCCAUCUUAAAGGAGAUAAGUCUUUAAUGUUCAUUGGAAGGAUUGAUGUUGAAGCUGAAGCUCCAAUACUUUGGCCACCUGAAUCAAAGAGCUGACUCAUUUGAAAAGACCCUGAUGCUGAGAAAGAUUCAAGGUGGGAGGAGAAGGGGAUGACAGAGGAUGAGAUGGCUGGAUGGCAUCACUGACUCAGUGGACAUGAGUUUGGGUAAACUCCAGGAGUUCUUGAUGGAGAGGGAGGCCUGGCAUGCUGCAGUCCAUGUGGUUGCAAAGAGUUGGACAAGACUGAGCGACUGAACUGAACUGAACUGAAGGAGAGGGUAGAGGCUGGACAGAAAUAGAUGUGGCUAUAAAAGGAAAACAUGAAGGAUUCUGUGGUGAUGGAAAUGUUCUGUAUCUUGACUAUAUAAAUGCCAACAUGUUGUGAUACUGUAUUAUUACAUUAUCAUAUUAAUCAUGCCACAUGACUAUAACUACAUAAUUACAUUAUGUAUCAUACUAUUUUAUGAUAUUGUACUGUAGCUUUCCAAGAUGUUACCAUUGGGGUAAACUGGUC
ensembl:lncRNA